GCACCCACACAGUAUUCAGAGAAAACAUUAAGAACAUUCCCACUUCGUCACACCAUCCUUCCUGUCGUGAUGAUUUGGGUGCUAUUUGGAAGUUUCUAUGAAAUCUAGAAAUCUGGAGAAAAUUAAAAUGUCUGAUUAUGACACGGCACUUUUUGCUGGCGGAAAGAAAGCGCACUGAACUUUCAGUCAUCUGUACCGAUAUUCAGCGAGCCAGGAUAGCUGUUGCCACCAGGAGGCCCAGGAAUGUCCAUUAUACUUAAAGGCUUUGACUGGGCCACUGAGGGUGCGUCUACACUGCAACUGGCAGCGUCUCUCUCAACGUGGGCAGACAUACGUGAUAGCUCUGCUUGAGCUAGCAGGCUACAAAUAGCUAAUGGCAGGUCAGCGGCUCAGGCUAGCCACCCGAGUCCAAACCUGCCCAAUACCCUGGGGCCGAGCUCAAGUGGUGAGCCCAUUCCGCAACGUUACAGAGCCUGAUCUAGCCACCACAGCACACGCCUUCCUUGCCUUGGAUGGAGCUUUCUGUUGAAGUCUAUGGAGAGUCCAGACAGACAGACUACAUGAGGGCAAUAUCCACUGAAAACGCCUGUGUAUAUAAUUUGUCCAUUUUCUCUCUUGCUUUUUCUAGAAUCUAAAAGAAAGGGGGAAACAAAAUGAAAGGCAUCA